rnacentral:rRNA from 1 species
UACGUAGGGUGCAAGCGUUGUCCGGAAUUACUGGGCGUAAAGGGCUCGUAGGCGGUUUGUCGCGUCGACUGUGAAAACUGGGGGCUUAACUCUCAGCUUGCAGUUGAUACGGGCAGACUUGAGUUCGGUAGGGGAGAGUGGAAUUCCUGGUGUAGCGGUGAAAUGCGCAGAUAUCAGGAGGAACACCGGUGGCGAAGGCGGGUCUCUGGGCCGGUACUGACGCUGAGGCGCGAAAGCGUGGGGAGCGAACAGG